rnacentral:rRNA from 1 species
AUGAACGCUAGCUACAGGCUUAACACAUGCAAGUCGCGGGGCAGCAUGGGGGUUGCUUGCAAUCCCCGAUGGCGACCGGCGCACGGGUGAGUAACGCGUAUCCAACCUGCCCUUCACCACGGGAUAACCCGGCGAAAGUCGGACUAAUACCGUAUGUUGUCCAUUGACGGCAUCCGAUUUGGACGAAAGGUUUGGCGGUGAAGGAUGGGGAUGCGUCCGAUUAGCUGGACGGCGGGGUGACGGCCCACCGUGGCGACGAUCGGUAGGGGUUCUGAGAGGAAGGUCCCCCACACGGGAACUGAGACACGGUCCAGACUCCUACGGGAGGCAGCAGUGAGGAAUAUUGGUCAAUGGGCGUAAGCCUGAACCAGCCAAGUAGCGUGCAGGAUGACGGCCCUAUGGGUUGUAAACUGCUUUUAUGCGGGGAUAAAGUGGCCCACGUGUGGGUUUUUGCAGGUACCGCAUGAAUAAGGACCGGCUAAUUCCGUG